rnacentral:lncRNA from 1 species
UCACAUCAAGUGCAAAAUCCCAUAUAAAUUCAAGAAAAACAAAUCUACAAGCUGAGUUUGUUGAGAAAAUAUAUAAAUUCAACAAAUUUAAGUAUUACCCACAAGAAAAACCCAAUCUACUUUGUGGAGGAGAUACCAUGUCACAUUUGUAGCCACUGACAAAUUCCCUGCGAACCUGGUCUUCACAUGAAUAUGAGUCGACGAACGGAUACUUCUUUGAAAGCUAAGUUGGAUUCUUUUGCUAAAAGCUGCGCCCCACUUGGCCCAAAGGCUGCAAUGGCUGGAAGGGGUGUAUUAGGAUAUUCAAACAGGAACACCUGUUCGAGCAGGCUAGUAGAAAAAUCCUGGAUAAAAGAAUGGACCAACCACGGCAUUUCAUGGACGCAAUUGGGGAAGGAAGAUCGCAAUCUAAUGAGAUGUAAAUAAUCUCAAAGCAAUUCUCUCUCUCUGCCUCUAACCGUGAAGAAUAAAUUAGACCACAAUAUCACCCUGCAGGCUGCAAGAGGGAUUCAAAAUUUCAGAAACACAUUCAAAUCAACAUUUAGAGGUCCUUUACUUGUUUUGCUUACACAGUAAGACAAAAUUAAACGAAGAAUAACACAAAUUCAAACACAGAAAAACCCAAAAUUAAGCACAGAAUGACACGAAAUAAUACCAGGCACACUAGCUAAGGCUCCAUCAUAAGAACAAGCAUACCUUCCCGCUGUAGGUAGAAUAGAAGUUUAUCCAACACCAGUGUUCUCUCUAGAUUGCUCGUCAUGAACUUCACAGCAUUUUCCAAGCUAAAAGGAUAUGCAUCGAUCAAGCCCCAAAACGUUGUACAUGUCAAAAGCAAAUUAAGUAAUUCAGAGAUCGAUCAGGCUCAAGAAUAAUACGUGGAAACUCAGUUCGGCUAAGCUAGCACGGCAGUUUUGAGAACACGACACAACUUUCUACCACUUCCUAACAGGGUAUACCAAGGGAUAUUUCCAAAGUGAGACUGUAAUUUAGCACAAUCUCAAAAUCUAUAUCCGGCCUACAUUCCAACGAUUCCCAGAUCCUCUUAAGUUUUCUGGUCCGUUCAAUGCCAGAGUAUGAUUCUUCAUAAAAAUACAGGCCCACAGUCUUGCCUUCAAGCUUUGAGGUUACUUACCUGCAAAGAAAAAAUGUAUACAAGAAUUUAAAAAUUCUCAAAUGAUAGAGAACCUCAAAAUAGAAAAUGGAAGAGUUAACCGCCAAUUAAGACUGCCAUCGGGAGCAAACAUAACAGUUCGAUCUUGC